rnacentral:rRNA from 1 species
UACGUAGGGCGCAAGCGUUAUCCGGAAUUAUUGGGCGUAAAGAGCUCGUAGGCGGUUUGUCGCGUCUGCCGUGAAAGUCCGGGGCUCAACUCCGGAUCUGCGGUGGGUACGGGCAGACUAGAGUGAUGUAGGGGAGACUGGAAUUCCUGGUGUAGCGGUGAAAUGCGCAGAUAUCAGGAGGAACACCGAUGGCGAAGGCGGCUCUCUGGACCACAACUGACGCUGAGGCGCGAAAGCGUGGGGAGCAAACAGG